CGAUUAAUUAGGGUUUCAAUUUUGCUUUACUUAUUUCAAUUUCGUGUAAUUUUCGAUUAACCAGAAGGAGGCGGCAUCGGUCGAUUAAUUAGGGUUUCAAAACCCUCACGUUGAUUAUUUUUGGGUGAAGUUUUUACUGAGGCAAUGGCUUCUUCAUCAGGACUGGAAUUCCAAUUGCACUCUUUUGGUUUGUGCAUUUCGGAAUAGGCCAAAGUUCCGGCAAGUUGAAGCAGAUGGUGGAACAAUUGUUUCAAAGGUUUUCACCUUUAUCUUGGUUUUAGAAAUCUGAUUUGCAGCCUUCAGAUCAUCAAAACAAGUAAGAUGUGGGUGUUUCAUCUACGCAACGAUGUGAAACAGAGGAUCAGGUUAUCGAUCGAUUAGGGUUUGAG